UACACAAGGGACCUAAUGCACUUCGGAAUUACUGGUCCUUAAAGAGUUCGUAUGCGGUUGACAAGGUUGCUGGUGAAAUCCCGGAGCUUAACUCUGGAACUGCCAUCAAAACUUUUCAGCUAUAGUAUGAUAAAGUUACAGCUGAAUUUCGUACGUGGAGAGGUGAAGAUUCGUACCAUAUUAGAAAGAAUACCGAUUGCUAGGGCAGCUUUCUGGAUCCUUACUGACUCUCGAUGAACGAAAGCUUGGGUGUGCGAAGAUGAUUAGAUACCCUCGUAGUCCAUGCCGUAAACGAUGUGUGUUACACGUUCGCAAAUUUAUUUUCAGUGUCGUAACGAAAGCGAUAAACACCCCGCCUGGCGAGCACGACCGCCAGGUUAUCACUCCUCUGAAAUGACGGACACCCGUGCAAGUAGUGGAGCAUGUGGUCUAAUUUGAAGAUACGCGCAGACCCUUUCCAACACUUGACAUGUUCGUCGCGACUUUAAGAGAUUAGAGUUUUCGGGUUGGCCGGACGCAACACAGGUGCUGCAUGGCUGUCGUCAGCUCGUGUCGUGAGAUGUUGGGUUAAGUACCGCACCGAGCGCAAGCCUCGCUUUUAGUGGGCAUCAUUAAGUUGGGCACUCUGAAAGAACUGCCAGUGAUAAUCAGGAGGAAGGCGGGGAUGACGUCAAGUCCUCAUGGUCCUUACGUGUUGGGCUACACACGUGUUACAAUGGGAUAAUUCAACAGGAAGCAAGCUCGCGAAGGUAAGCAAAUCCUUAAAAGAUACCUCAGUUCGGACUGCGCUAUGCAACUCGAGUGCAUGAAGCUGGAAUUAGUAGUAAUCGAGGAUCAGCGUUCCACGGUGAAUUCGUUCCCGGGUCU
rnacentral:rRNA from 1 species